rnacentral:ncRNA from 1 species
AAGCGUUGAAGCAUAAUAGCGUUACCGGGAUGCCUUGUUAUGCAGAGCUUUCAGUAGGGGUUGUGCAGUAACCUCAAAACCGGAGUAGGCUGCAAAGCCGAAAGAAAAUGCUCAAA